CGGACGGGUGAGUAACACGUGGAUAACCUACCUAUAAGACUGGGAUAACUUCGGGAAACCGGAGCUAAUACCGGAUAAUAUAUUGAACCGCAUGGUUCAAUAGUGAAAGACGGUUUUGCUGUCACUUAUAGAUGGAUCCGCGCCGCAUUAGCUAGUUGGUAAGGUAACAGCUUACCAAGGCAACGAUGCGUAGCCGACCUGAGAGGGUGAUCGGCCACACUGGAACUGAGACACGGUCCAG
rnacentral:rRNA from 1 species